GAUGAACGCUGACAGAAUGCUUAACACAUGCAAGUCGAUUCGAUUUACCUUCGGGUAUUGAGGAUGGCGGACGGGUGAGUAACGCGUAAGGAACUUGCCUCUUGGGACUGGGACAACUGUUGGAAACGGACAGCGUAAAUACCGGAUAUUAUGAGAUUCUCGCAUGGGAAAACUUAGUGAAAGCGUAUAUGCGCCAAAGAGAGAG
rnacentral:rRNA from 1 species